UAGUAUAGAAAUUAUCUUUUGUUUUGUAUGUUGAGAUACUGUAUAUAUGCUUAAGGGUCAUAUGGCUUAAGGGUAAUAUGGCUUUAGGGUCAUAUAUUUAUGACCCUUAAGCCAUAAUGUUUGCCCAUCCCUGUUAUACAUUUUUCGUUACUGAGAAUAAGACCUGGACUGAAGCACAGAGAUACUGCAGAGAGAAUUACACUGACCUGGCUAUUAUUGAUAACAUGGAGAAAAUUAACACACUCAUUAACACAGUAAAUGGCAGCUACUCAGGUUUAGCCUGGAUUGGACUGUAUGGUGAUGAGGACAGUUGGAGAUGGUCUCUGGAUGAUGAUGCUUUCUACCAGGAGGGAGAGAGAGACUUCAGAGGAUAGCCCCAUCAACCUGAUAACUCAAAUGGAAACGAGAUGUGUGUUUAUAUUACAUCUGAUGGAACCUGGUCUGAUGGAGAUUGCAGAGCAUAUUUAACUUUUAUUUGUUAUAAUUGUGAGAAUAUAUAAUAAGUUUAACUAGGAUUAACUGUCAUUUUUUGUUGAUGUGUUACUGAGUACAAUUAUCGUUUCAGGAUGGAAUGGAACAAAAAGUUUCACAUUGAUUAAUCAGCCCAUGUCUUGGACAAAAGCUCAGCAUUACUGCAGAGUGUAUUAUACAGACCUGGACAGUGUGGGGAACCAAGCAGAUAAAUCUCAAAGGUGGCUUUAACACUUGGAUUGGUCUAUGCAGAACCAAACUGUGGUCAGACAAACGGGAAUCUGUGUAUGAAAAUUGGAGACCAGCCACUCAGCCACUCAGUUACCUGAACAGCCAGAUAAUGGUGCUGUUAUGGGAGUGCGACUGAAAACCAGAUCUAAUGACAAUCUCUUAUACUCUGAGGUUGCCGAAUCUGUGCUGAUGGCAGUGAGUAAACAUUCCUGAUUCAUAAUCUGAAACAGAAUCAUUAAACAUUACAUUAUGCUUAUCUCAUAGACCAGGUGUAGCAAUUUAUGUAACAAAAGAAGUCUUUGUUGCCUAACAUGAUGAAGCAAGGAAAUAUUGGUAACUGAUUAGUUGUUAUUUAUUUACAUAUAAAAUACUUUUACACCACUUACAGGAUUUAUUUCACAUUUUUUCAGCUUGAAGUGUAAAUAAAAGCUUGGAUACAGGGGUUUUUCCUAACAUGCUGAAACAGGCCUUUGUGCAACCUGUACUAAAAAAACCCCAACUUAGAUCUGACUGACUUGACAAAUUUUAGAUGUUUCUCAUCUGUCUUUUUUGUCAAGAAUUUUAGAAAAAGUGGUGUUUAGUCAGUUACAUGUUUUUUUUAGAACAGAAUAAGAUUGGUGAACUUUACCAGUCCGGCUCCAGAAAGCAUCAUUCCACGGAGACAGCCCUUGUAAAAGUUUUUAAUGAUUUAUUGGUGAUUAUGGAUGCUUUUGAUUCAGCAGUGUUAUUUUUAGGGAUAUUUUUAGAAGACACAAUAUAGCAUUUCAUUGCUAUGCGGAUGAUUUACAAAUAUAUCUACCAUUAACUAUCAGAAAUAGUCUAGAACCUUUAAUGUCCUGCCUUUCUGAUAUUAAAGCAUGGCUGGCUAAUAAUUACUUAUACUUUAACAAGAACAAGACGGAGGUUGUAGUGUAUGGCCAUAGAGGAGCAAAGAGCGCAGCAGAGUUUAAUCUUGGCCCACUGUCAAUGAAAGUUAAAGAAUGUGUUAACUUGGGUGUAUUCGUUGAUAGCUUUCUGAAGCUGAACACACAGAUAAAUCAUGUUGUAAAGUCUAGUUUUUUCAUCUGAGAAAUCUGGCCAAGAUAAAAUCUUGUAUGACAUAAGAGUAUCAAAAUUGCAAUUCAUGCUCUUAUAUCAUCAAGACUGGACUAUUGUAAUUCAGUAUAUAAAGGAAUUAGUCAAGCCUCUAUCUUAUGGCUGCAGAAGGUUCAAAAUGCUGCUACUAUAAUGAAUAUUAAAAAACAUGAAUACAUCA